rnacentral:rRNA from 1 species
CACGUAGGGCGCGAGCGUUGUCCGGAAUUAUUGGGCGUAAAGAGCUCGUAGGCGGCCUGUUGCGUCCGCUGUGAAAGCCCGGGGCUUAACCCCGGGUCGGCAGUGGAUACGGGCAGGCUAGAGGUAGGUAGGGGAGAAUGGAAUUCCCGGUGUAGCGGUGAAAUGCGCAGAUAUCGGGAGGAACACCGGUGGCGAAGGCGGCCCGCUGGGCAACUGCUGACACUGAGGCGCGACAGCGUGGGGAGCGAACAGG